rnacentral:rRNA from 1 species
GAUGAACGCUGGCGGCGUGCCUAAUACAUGCAAGUCGAGCGAACAGACGAGGAGCUUGCUCCUCUGACGUUAGCGGCGGACGGGUGAGUAACACGUGGAUAACCUACCUAUAAGACUGGGAUAACUUCGGGAAACCAGAGCUAAUACCGGAUAAUAUAUUGAACCGCAUGGUUCAAUAGUGAAAGACGGUUUUGCUGUCACUUAUAGUUGGAUCCGCGCCGCAUUAGCUAGUUGGUAAGGUAACGGCUUACCAAGGCGACGAUGCGUAGCCGACCUGAGAGGGUGAUCGGCCACACUGGAACUGAGACACGGUCCAGACUCCUACGGGAGGCAGCAGUAGGGAAUCUUCCGCAAUGGGCGAAAGCCUGACGGAGCAACGCCGCGUGAGUGAUGAAGGUCUUCGGAUCGUAAAACUCUGUUAUUAGGGAAGAACAAAUGUGUAAGUAACUAUGCACGUCUUGACGGUACCUAAUCAGAAAGCCACGGCUAACUACGUG